CAGCAUGUCUCUUUUAUUGUUCCUUGCAGUGUGCUGGACCAAGUGGUUUGACCGGGACAAUCCCAGUGAAACAGGGGACUGGGAGGAUUUGAUUAACCUGAGGAUAGAAAACCCCGGACAAAUCUGUGCCAACCCUCUGUCUAUUGAGGCUGUUACCACCGACACACUGACCCCAGCCAUCUCCACAGGGCAGACCUUCUUUAUUUACAAUCAAAAUGAGGGAUUUGUUUGCCGCAAUACGGACCAGAAAUCUCGCCAGUGCCGUGACUACAAAGUUCGGUUUGGGUGCCCAUG